AAGACGACCACGUUGAUAGGCCGGGUGUGGAAGCGCAGCAAUGUGUGAAGCUUACCGGUACUAAUAGCUCGAUUGGCUUGAUCGUUCUCAUU
rnacentral:rRNA from 1 species